rnacentral:rRNA from 1 species
UACGGAGGGUGCGAGCGUUGUCCGGAAUCACUGGGCGUAAAGGGCGCGUAGGCGGCCUGAUAAGUAGGGGGUGAAAUCCUGCGGCUUAACCGCAGGGCUGCCUUCUAAACUGUCGGGCUAGAGCACGGUAGAGGCAGAUGGAAUUCCCGGUGUAACGGUGGAAUGCGUAGAGAUCAUGAGGAAGACCAGUGGCGAAGGCGGGUCUCUGGACAGUUCCUGACACUGAGACACGAAGGCCAGGGGAGCAAACGGG